AGUCCGUCUGCUAUUUUAAGUUUGGAACCAAACGAUAUCACUCUGGGUCGACUAUAAAUAUGUCACGACUUCGAAAUUGCAACAUUGCGAUAGCAAAGAAAGAGAAGAUAUGGAAGGAGAAGUAGUAGAACUGUACGAGCUUCAGUACUCUGAUUUGAAGAAACUUUCUUCAGAGAAAGCUUUAUCAGCAGCAGAAUCUUCUGAAGAAAUUCAGCGGCUUGAAUCAAUCACCACAAGUGUUAUGGAAAACCUAGGGCCAGAGGGACCCGGACUUCUGGCCAUCACCGGCGUUCCAAAAGCUUCCAAUCUUCGUCGAACUCUUCAUCCUUUGGCUCGAAAUCUCUCUCUUCUCAAUAACGAAGAUCGCAAACGCCUUCUUAAGGAAAACAAUCUAGGAAGUGAUGUUUCAUUGAAGAACCCGAAUAGAAAUGUCUCGUCUUUUUCUAUGCAAUUGAAAUAUGAGCAGUGCUUUGAAAGAGGUGACUGUCGGGUUAAUGAUCUAGAUGUUGGUAAUGGGGAUGACGAAGUGGUUGAUCAGGAUGAGUUUAAGAAAUUAGGAUGCACCUUUAAGGAGCUAGGAUAUUGCAUGAUGGACAUAGGGCUUCGUCUUGCCCAAAUAUGUGAUAAGAUCAUUGGAGGCCAAGAGCUACAACAGAGCUUACUAGAGUCUGGCACAGCUAAAGGGCGUCUAAUCCAUUACCAUUCCGCUGUUGACAAUGAUAUUAUUAGAGAAGCUGCAAAAAGAAACGGAUAUGUUAAAUCAAGAAAUGGAAAAGUCAAUAAGAAUGAGCAAGCAAGUACGAAACAGCAAGGCACUGACUUAUCGAAAGACCAGUCAAAUGACUAUGGUCUUUGGCAGCAGUGGCAUUAUGAUUAUGGCAUUUUCACUCUCUUAACAGUUCCCAUGUUUCUGUUGUCCUCUCGCCAAGAAACGCCAGCUGCUGUAAAUACUGGUUCACCUAUUUCUUCUGAGCAUGAAUUCCCUUCGCCCAGUGGUCACACAUAUCUUCAAAUAUUUGAUCCCAAAAAGAAUCAGAUCUUCAUGGUAAAGGCGCCUUCAGAGAGUCUCAUUCUGCAGGUUGGAGAAGCAGCUGAUAUAUUAUCUAAGGGGAAGCUACGAGCAACACUUCAUUGUGUUUGUAGACCACCAAAGAUUGAAAACUUGAGCAGAGAAACAUUUGUUGUCUUCUUGCAGCCAGCAUGGAGCAAACAAUUCUCUCUUUCGGAUUACCCUCUUGAACGUUUAAAUUUAAGUAGUCAGCAGUGUGGGGUAUGUAUUGAGGGAAUUGAAGAGUCUAGGCAGGUAUCAGAGGAAUUAAGUCAAGAAAUUCAAAAGAUUGUUCCACCACUUUUGUCGAGGCUGAAAGAUGGGAUGACAUUUGCAGAAUUUUCCCGUGAAACUACAAAACAAUACUAUGGUGGUAAAGGUUUACAGUCCAACAGAUAGGUUUUCUGUGGAUAUUCUUAGAUGCGGAGAGCUUCCAUCUGGCCGGACAAUGCUUAAACUGGUGGCAAAAAGUCUCAACUUUCCUAUGGGUCUGUUUUGAUGAUCUGUGACACAGUAAUGUCUUGGAAUCACACUUACGGUGUAUUUUUAACUGUAUACAGUGUGAAAAUCCAUUACUUCAAGUCCCCCCUCUCAGAGCCAAUGUUAGAUGGUCAGAAGGUAAGAUGAAUGGGGUUUACAAGCUUGGGCCUCAUCCACACUCUACAAGGUACAUGUAAUCAGCCCAAAGGCAAAAGUAGCUUCAUCUAAUGGCUUUGGACUUGCACCAGGACCGGCUCAUUGGCCUGUUCUCUUCAUCAUGUCUAAAAUAAUAACAUGUUCGAUUAACAUAAAAGGUCAAAGAUGUCAAACAUUUCAACAAUACAGUGAUACAACGUAAUAUUGGAAUAUACAGAAGUCCAGUGAGUACAUUCCUCAAUAAUGCACUAAUAAUAUUAUAAGCCUAAUAUGGAAGCCUACGGCUCCCUAGUUUUGCAUUAGGCGCAGAUAUUCAGUUGAUGAGAGGAGUUAAGCAACAUAGAAUGACCCAAAUUGAGGUUUCUGUUACAGAGCAGUUCGAGCAGUCUAAUUUAUG